UCGUGUUUGUCACUGCGUGCGAGUCUUAAUUUUUCCUCAUCCGGUCUGUAUGCCCUGAAGAUGACACCGUGUCGAAACGACACAUUGAAGGUCUCCUUUGAGAGGAACCACACUUAAACAGCAGUUGGCAGCGCGUGGAGCCUUUGCGGUUUUUCUGACUGCCUGCGCGUCUGAGUCAAUAGUUCAGAGAUGCCUUUGAGGAGCUGAGGUCGUGAGAACCGAACGAACUAGUCCGCCUGUGGUCGGGCACGGAGCCAGCCAUUAAAUCCCCGCCCGCAGGCCGCGAGCGUUGCCGCUUCGACUGAGGUGCGGAGGCGGACGCCCGCAAGCAACACUCGGCGAGGGAACUUCAUCUUCGUCACUUCACAUUUCCUGUCCGUCUUUGUAUUUCUAGCCUGGCAACGCGGAACGUGGAGGUUACCCCGGGCGGCCUGUCGCAUCAACCUUGAUCAAGUAUCACACGCAGCUUCUCCACUUUCGGCGCACGGGGGGCUCGCGGCCUUUUGCAGCGAUUGAAGAUUCCAGGAAAGAAAGUCGAAAGUUCCCCCUUGGCACGGGUCAUCUUGAAGACUCCCAGGCGGCUUUGAAAGAGCCUCAGCAUGUUUGAUUUAUGUAUUUAUCUAUCGAGGGGGCAUCCUUGCCUAUCAUGCAGUACGGGGCAGCUGUUAUUCUAUUUUAGUUCUAGAUCACUACAGCGGGAAGUCCCGGCGAUAAAUGCUUGACGAAAGGCACUCCCAAAUUGGCAAUGUGAAAAUUAAACAGAUUUUAACUAUGAUGAAGUCAUGACCUCAGAGUUUGAACACCAGUUAAAAGAUUUUUGUUGUUGUUAUUGAGGAACCAAGAUCGUAUUGUAUAAGCAUUUAUUACUAAAAUGGCACCCAGUAGACUGCAGACCUCCACCAUAAUGGAAAAAAAAAUCUCUAUCGAUGUGGCACAACCCUGAAAAGAAAUGAAAACCCUUAAAAGGCAUAAAAAUAUCCCAUUGUUUUUUUGUUGUUGUUGUUGGGUUUGUUUGCAGUUUAGUACGCUUCUAAAAAAGCAGCGCAGUUUAGUUUGCAGCUGCUAUGCAGUCAUUUUCAUUUCCAAAAUUGUCAAGCUAAUAAUUAAACAUAGGGCG